GAUGAAGAACGUAGCGAACAGCGAUAAGUAAUGUGAAUUUCAGAAUUCAGUGAAUCAUCGAGUCUUUGAACGCACAUUGCGCCCCCUGGCAUUCCGGGGGGCAUGCCUGUCCGAGCGUCAUUGCUGCCCUUCAAGCCCGGCUUGUGUGUUGGGUCGUCGUCCCCCCCGGGGGACGGGCCCGAAAGGCAGCGGCGGCACCGCGUCCGGUCCUCGAGCGUAUGGGGCUUUGUCACCCGCUCGAUUAGGGCCGGCCGGGCGCCAGCCGGCGUCUCCAACCUUCUAUUUUACCAGGUUGACCUCGGAUCAGGUAGGGAUACCCGCUGAACUUAAGCAUAUCAAUAAGCGGAGGA
rnacentral:misc_RNA from 1 species